UUAUCAGUGAUUAUCAGCUCAUUGAUAUGGGCCAGAAGGGGCCUGCUGCGCCUACUGGUAGGCUCAGAAGGCUGUUAUCGUCCAUCCAAAUGGUUAAUCACCGCACGCAAGUAUGACGGUGAAAUUACCACUGGCGUACCAGCAGGGGCGAUCGUUUCCCCAACGCCAUCAACUCCACGCGGACCAAUGACCAGCGAAUUAGUGCAUUAAAAGACGGAUUUUAGAUGACGUCAAGACACAUACAGUUACAUCGGAUCACACACUCCAGCAGCUCUUUUAAGAAGCCAUCUCUUGUAAAGAAAGCUGCUAGAAUUAACAGGGAACUUGGACUUGAAGCUCCCAAUGCUGGUCUUGAAGAAGCUGUCAAGGAGGCUGAACAAGUCAUUCAAAGCUGAAAGUGAAGACCAGAGGAAGGCCUGUCAUGGGAUUUGAAUUAGGCCAUAUUGUCCGUUUACGGAGAACACCAAAAGCUGCAAAGGCAAAAAUUUCCAAUGGUAUGUCUGUGUUUGUCUGAGCACCUUGACUGAACUGUACUAUACUGUUACAUUUGCACAGCAUUUGAUGUUUCUUUAACUUUGGUUUACAUACACCACGGUCCUAUCAGGAAGAACAAAAUAUCAUGUUGAAGUAGUGAUAAUUCAUGCAAUUUACCAAGUCAACAAAUUCAUAUGAUAUUGGACAAGUGUACUUAUACAAAAUUCUACGACUUUCACUCCUACUGCUGUCAUUGGCCAUAGCUUCAACUCGCAUGUAGUUUGUGCCCAUUGGAAGUAGUCAGAGUGUUUGUAUCAUCAAGUUUAUAUUAAGUCCAUUUAAUUCU